rnacentral:sRNA from 1 species
CCCUAGCCCGGAUAGAAGCGGUAUCCUUUUUCUGUCCGCCGCGGCGGACAGGAAAAGAUACAAGCGGAUAGCCGGAAACAGC